rnacentral:rRNA from 1 species
GACGUAGGGUCCGAGCGUUGUCCGGAGUUACUGGGCGUAAAGGGCGCGUAGGUGGCUCUGUAAGUUUGCGGUGAAAGCCCGGGGCUCAACCCCGGGUCUGCCGUGGAUACUGCAAGGCUUGAGUACUGUAGAGGCAGGUAGAAUAUCGGGUGUAGCGGUGGAAUGCGUAGAGAUCCGAUAGAAGACCGGUGGCGAAGGCGGCCUGCUGGGCAGUAACUGACACUGAGGCGCGACAGCGUGGGGAGCAAACAGG